rnacentral:lncRNA from 1 species
GGUUGAUUUGGGCCUUAACUAUUAUUAUUGUUAAUUUUGUGUUUUUAGAGUAAAUUAUCCAGAGGAAGCAUCUACCUUUGUGAAUGGGCCAAAUAUGCAAAAGUCCAAGUUGCUUCUUGAACCAAAACAGGAAACAAAUUCUGAGGAGAAGAAAGAGAAAAUAAAAUCUACAAUAUCUCAGAAACAGAAUUGGAAGCAAAUCUUCUGCAAAAUACAAGAAUUAUGGAAAGAUAGAAACUUGGAAACGGUUAACAAAAUAUAAACUACAAUAUUCUCUCAAGAUCCUUGGAGGUGAAAAGCCUAUAAAAGGACACAAGCAUCAAGGAGAAAGGAGAGAGCUUCAUAGGGUUUUCUUAGUUUAUUUUCUUCUUUGUAAUUCUUUUGUUUUGCCUCCGCAUGGAAGGCUAAACCAUUUUGGUUGAUUCCUCUGUAAUUUCCCAUUGAGCUCUGAGGUUUCGUUCAAUAAAAGUUUCUAUUUUUAAUUCUC